rnacentral:misc_RNA from 1 species
AUGCGAUAAGUAAUGUGAAUUGCAGAAUUCAGUGAAUCAUCGAAUCUUUGAACGCACAUUGCGCCCGCCGGUAUUCUGGCGGGCAUGCCUGUCCGAGCGUCAUUUCAACCCCUCGAGCCCCCGGGCCCGGUGUUGGGGAACGACCAUCAGCCCUCCGGGGCGGUCGUCCCUGAAAUACAGUGGCGGUCACGUCGCGGACCCUCUGCGUAGUAGCAACACCUCGCACUGGAGAGCGGCGCGCCCACGCCCCGAAACACUUCUUUCACAGGUUGACCUCGGAUCAGGUAGGAAUACCCGCUGAACUUAA